AUUUAUGUUUGAGAUAUGUUUAAUCUUUGUUCUUUCAGAAAGGACAAUGUUUUAUUAAAAAUUUUUUUAAAGUUCUGCAAUUGAGCUUCAUAUUUU
rnacentral:tRNA from 1 species